rnacentral:misc_RNA from 1 species
GAUGAAGAACGUAGCGAAAUGCGAUAACUAAUGUGAAUUGCAGAAUUCCGUGAAUCAUCGAGUCUUUGAACGCACAUUGCGCCCCUUGGUAUUCCAUGGGGCAUGCCUGUUCGAGCGUCAUCUACACCCUCAAGCUCUGCUUGGUGUUGGGCGUCUGUCCCGCCCCCGCGCGUGGACUCGCCCCAAAUCCAUUGGCAGCGUUCCUUGCCCCCUCUCGCGCAGCACAUUGCGCUUCUCGAGGGCGGCUCCGGGACGCGAUCCAGCAAGAUGACCACCGUCUUUGACCUCGGAUCAGGUAGGGAUACCCGCUGAACUUAAGCAUAUCAAUAAGCGGAGGA